AGCCUCUUGGUGCUUACCACAGGCUGUGUUCUUACAAGACCAUAUAGAAAGAGGAGAAAAAGUACACUUACCCCAUUUACACUUCAGCCCAGGCCCUAUGCCUGGUCUGUACUAUGAAUGGGGAGACAGGG
rnacentral:snoRNA from 1 species